UACGGGGGGGGCGAGCGUUGUCCGAAGUUACUGGGCGUAAAGCGCGUGUAGGCGGGUUGUUAAGUCCGCUGUGAAAGCCCGGUGCUCAACGCCGGAGGGUCGGUGGAUACUGGCAGUCUUGAAGUGGCUAGGGGGAAAUGGAAUUACCGGUGUAGCGGUGAAAUGCGUAGAUAUCGGUAGGAACACCAGUGGCGAAGGCGGGCUACUGGGCUGAUACUGACGCUGAUGCGCGAAAGCUAGGGGAGCAAACAGG
rnacentral:rRNA from 1 species